UCGACCUCUCCCUGCUACCAGAUUCGCGAUUCUUUCUCCGUCUAUGAAGAGGAGACGGAGAAGAGGUAGCAAUGACGAUAGUGGGAGCACAGUGACGUCACGGAUGCUCGAGAGAAAGGAUCGAAGGGUAAAGCGAGAGGGAUAAAGAGAUUGAAUGGAAACUAAAGUGUGAAAGACGAAAAAGAAAAGAGAUGGCUCUGGAAAGAUUCAAUUCUCAAAAGGUAGACGACUUAUAGAAGGAGAGUAUCCAUUCGAUAGUUCGUAACGUGACGAUGUCGAGAACGUAACGUCGAUUUUAUGGUUACUCGUCAUCCGUAAUUUAUCGACACGUAAAUGCGUUAACAACGAGAAAUUUUCAGAGUUCGCCUGAAAUUUUAUGCGACCAUACGAGAAGGUUAUAAACGUCGGCAAAGGGGAACGAUAAACGACGUAGAAUUGACAUUCCAUAGAAUCUAUUCGGGUUGACUAUAACUAUGCUUCCUCUAACAUUGAUACUGCUCGCUCCUUUACCUUCGACCUCCCUAUGCUUAGAUAAAUACGACGGAAAACAAUAAUAAACGUUGCGACAAAUAAACGCUUGAAGGCAGACUCUCGAGAGAUGAGCGCACGAACUCGUGGAUGGAACUGUAAAUACGAGACAAUCCCCAUAGCCGUGUGUCUACAGCUUCUUCGCGAAUCGAAAAAUCGAACGGGAGUUUAUGCUCGUAUUAUCGUAUUUGAGAAAAUGGAAUCGACGAUGAAAUAUCGAUGCAGUGGAUAUCGUUGACGAUUACUUUUCGAAAAAAUAAUCGAUCGUUUCGUUUUAUACGAAACAAGAGAAACAUGAUUUGCACAUUGUUACAUUUGGAAAUAUAUAUUUGAUAUGGUUGAAAGAACUCGACGAUUUUUCAGUGACAGACUUUUCGAUGGUUCCGUAGGCGGCGUACUCAAGAUGAAAAUGUCGAUGGAAAAAGUAGAGAAAAAAAAUAACUUGGGAUCUUGAGCGAUCUAUCGUUCGUUCCUCGUCAGAUUUUCCUUCGAUGGUGAAUUCGACUGAUGGUCGUGAACAAUCUUUACAUACGGUAUGGCAUCGCCGAAGGAAUUGCCUGUCCAACUGAAUGACGGAUAAGAUGUUGCGCGACUUCCAUUCCGUGCAUAUAUAUCUGUAGAAAAAAAGAAAUAAAGAAUUGGUAAAACCUAUUGACGCAAGCCAUGAAAUUUUGAAAUUAAUGGAAACGCGAUCAGGACGCUGCGAGAUUAAAUUUGGCUAAUUCUCGAUCGGGAUAACUCGCUAAUACUCUCUGUCUA